GACGAACGCUGGCGGCGUGCUUAACACAUGCGAGUCGAACGGAAAGGCCCCUUUGGGGGUACUCGAGUGGCGAACGGGUGAGUAACACGUGAGUAACCUGCCCUUGACUUCGGGAUAACUUCAGGAAACUGGGGCUAAUACCGGAUAGGAAUCCUUGCUGCAUGGUGGGGGUUGGAAAGCUUCGGCGGUUUUGGAUGGACUCUCGGCUUAUCAGCUUGUUGGUGGGGUAGUGGCUUACCAAGGCUUUGACGGGUAGCCGGCCUGAGAGGGCGACCGGCCACAUUGGGACUGAGAUACGGCCCAGACUCCGACGGGAGGCAGCAGUGGGGAAUAUUGCACAAUGGGCGGAAGCCUGAUGCAGCAACGCCGCGUGCGGGAUGACGGCCUUCGGGUUGUAAACCGCGUUCAGCAGGGGCGAAGCUUGUGGUGACGGUACCUGCAGAAGAAGCACCGGCUAACUACGUG
rnacentral:rRNA from 1 species